UACGUAGGGUGCGAGCGUUGUCCGGAAUUAUUGGGCGUAAAAGGGCUCGUAGGCGGUCUGUCGCGCGGGAGUGAAAACUCAGGGCUUAACCCUGAGCCUGCUUCCGAUACGGGCAGACUGGAGGUAUGCAGGGGGAGAACGGAAUUCCGGGUGUAGCGGUGGAAUGCGUAGAGAUCCGGAAGAACACCGGUGGCGAAGGCGGCCUGCUGGGGUCGAACUGACGCUGAGGCGCGACAGCGUGGGGAGCAAACAGG
rnacentral:rRNA from 1 species